rnacentral:rRNA from 1 species
GACGAACGCUGGCGGCGUGCCUAAUACAUGCAAGUUGAGCGCUGAAGGUUGGUACUUGUACCAACUGGAUGAGCAGCGAACGGGUGAGUAACGCGUGGGGAAUCUGCCUUUGAGCGGGGGACAACAUUUGGAAACGAAUGCUAAUACCGCAUAAAAACUUUAAACACAAGUUUUAAGUUUGAAAGAUGCAAUUGCAUCACUCAAAGAUGAUCCCGCGUUGUAUUAGCUAGUUGGUGAGGUAAAGGCUCACCAAGGCGAUGAUACAUAGCCGACCUGAGAGGGGGAGCGGCCAAAUUGGGACUUAGCCACGGCCCAAACUCCUACGGGAGGCAGCAGUGGGGAAUUUUCGGGAAGGGACGAAAGUUUGACCGGGAAACGCCGGGGGAGGGAAGAAGGUUUUCGGAUCGUAAAACCCUGUUGGUAGGGAAAAACGUGGGGGGGAGUGGAAAGCCCACCAAGUGGCGGUAACAACCCAGAAAGGGACGGCUAACUACGU